AUAGCCCUUAGAGGCCAUUCAUUGUAGAUAAGGCUGCUGUGUCACAUGUACAACAGUAGGUGGCAGAGAGGAGAGAAGCUAUGUUUUUUUCUAGGGUGAAUAUAUGAAUGAUUAGUAGUUUAACACU